AUUAACCCUUCGGGGGUGAUUCUGGUGGAAUGAGCGGCGGACGGGUGAGUAACACGUGGGCAACCUGCCUGUAAGACUGGGAUAACUUCGGGAAACCGGAGCUAAUACCGGAUAGUAUUUCCUUUCUCCUGAUUGGAAAUGGAAAGACGGUUUCGGCUGUCACUUACAGAUGGGCCCGCGGUGCAUUAGCUAGUUGGUGGGGUAAUGGCCCACCAAGGCGACGAUGCAUAGCCGACCUGAGAGGGUGAUCGGCCACACUGGGACUGAGACACGGCCCAGACUCCUACGGGAGGCAGCAGUAGGGAAUCUUCCGCAAUGGACGAAAGUCUGACGGAGCAACGCCGCGUGAGCGAUGAAGGCCUUCGGGUCGUAAAGCUCUGUUGUUAGGGAAGAACAAGUACGAGAGUAACUGCUCGUACCUUGACGGUACCUAACCAGAAAGCCCCGGCUAACUACGUGCCAGCAGCCGCGGUAAUACGUAGGGGGCAAGCGUUGUCCGGAAUUAUUGGGCGUAAAGGGCUCGUAGGCGGUUUCUUAAGUCUGAUGUGAAAGCCCACAGCUCAACUGUGGAGGGUCAUUGGAAACUGGGGAACUUGAGUGCAGAAGAGGAGAGUGGAAUUCCACGUGUAGCGGUGAAAUGCGUAGAUAUGUGGAGGAACACCAGUGGCGAAGGCGACUCUCUGGUCUGUAACUGACGCUGAGGAGCGAAAGCGUGGGGAGCAAACAGGAUUAGAUACCCUGGUAGUCCACGCCGUAAACGAUGAGUGCUAGGUGUUAGGGGGUUUCCGCCCCUUAGUGCUGAAGUUAACGCAUUAAGCACUCCGCCUGGGGAGUACGGCCGCAAGGCUGAAACUCAAAAGAAUUGACGGGGGCCCGCACAAGCGGUGGAGCAUGUGGUUAAUUCGAAGCACGCGAAGAAGUUACCAGGUCUUGACAUC
rnacentral:rRNA from 1 species